rnacentral:rRNA from 1 species
CCGAACGCUGGCGGCGUGCUUAACACAUGCAAGUCAAGGGGGGCCCCGCAAGGGCAACCGGCGAACGGGUGGCGUAACACGUGAGCGACACCUGCCGCAUUCUGGGGGAUAGGCCGGGCCCAACCAACGGCCGGGUAAUACCGCAUACGUUCUCGAGGCGGCAUUGCCUUUGAGAAAGAAACCUCCGGGGGAGUGCGAGGGGCUCGCGGCUCCUAUCAGCUAGUUGGCGGGGGUGGUAACGGCCCACCAAGCGACCGACGGGUAGCUGGUCUGAGAGGAUGGCCAGCCACAUUGGGACUGAAGAAACGGCCCAGACUCCUUACGGGAGGCAAGCAGUGGGGAAUAUUGCGCAAUGGGCCCUAACGGCUGACGCAGCUGACGCCGCGUGGGAGGGGAUGACGCCUUUCGGGGGUGUAAACUCCUGUUGGCCCGGGACGAACCUCUCCUUUCGAGGAGGACUGACGGUACCGGGUGAGGAAGCACCGGCUAACUCCGUGCCAGCAGCCGCGGUAAUACGGAGGGUGGCGAGCGUUGUCCGGAAUCCACUGGGCGUAAAGGGGCGCGUAGGUGGCUUCUUAAGCGGGUGGUGAAAGUCCGGGGCUCAAACUCCGGAUCGGCCAUGCGAAACUGGGGAGCUUGAGGCGUAGUAGAGGCAGGGUGGAAUUCCGGGUGUAAGCGGUUGGGAAUGCGUAGAGAUCCGGAAGAAACACCGGUGGCGAAGGCGGCCUUGCUGGGCCUACUGCUGACACUGAGGCGCGACAAGCGUGGGGAGCAAACAGGAUUAGAUACCCUGGUAGUCCCACGCCGUAAACGAUGGGCACUAGAUGCCUGGGGGAGCGACCCCCUGGGUGUCGGCGGCUAACGCAUUUAUAAGUGCCCCGCCUGGGGAAGUACGGGCCGCAAGGCUUGAAACUCAAAGGAAUUGACGGGGGGCCCCGCACAAGCGGUGGAGGCAUGUGGUUUAAUUCGACGCAAACGCGAAGAACCUUACCUGGGCUUGACAUGCAUGGGAAACCCCUGAGAAACCAGGGGCCCUCUUCGGAGCUCAUGCACAGGUUGCUGCAUGGCUGUCGUCAGCUCGGUGUCGUGAGAUGUUGGGUUAAGUCCCGCAACGAGCGCAACCCUCGUCUCUAGUUACCAGGCGGGUAAAGCCCGGGCACUCUAGAGAGACUGCCGGUGGCCAAACCGGAGGAAGGUGGGGACGACGUCAAGUCAUCAUGGGUCCUUAACGUCCAGGGCCUACAACACGUGCUACAAAUGGCCGGUACAGAGGGGCUGGCCAACUCGCGAGAGUGCGCCAAUUCCUGAAAGCCGGCCCUCAGUUCGGAUUGUAGUCUGCAAACUCCGACUACAUGAAGCUGGAAUCGCUAGUAAUCGUGGAUCAGCUACGCCACGGUGGAAUACGUCCCCGGGCCUUGUACACACCGCCCGUCACGCCAUGGGAAGCUGCGAGCGGCCCGAAGUCGGUGUCGGAACCCUCACGGGGCCAAGCCGCCGAAGGCGGAGCGCAGUGACUGGGGCG